rnacentral:misc_RNA from 1 species
GAUGAAGAACGCAGUGAAAUGCGAUACUCGGUGUGAAUUGCAGAAUCCCGUGAACCAUCGAGUCUUUGAACGCAAGUUGCGCCUCAAGCCAUUAGGUUGAGGGCACGUCUGCCUGGGCGUCACAUAUCGUUGCCUGAUGCCAGUUUCCUCGUGAUGGGUGACUGUGCAGGGCGAAUGAUGGCUUCCCGUGAGCAUUGUUGCCUCAUGGUUGGUUGAAAAUUGAGUCCUUGGUAGGGAGCGCCGUGAUAGAUGGUGGUUGAGUGACGAACGAGACCCAAUCAUGUGAGACCCCUACCGAAUUUGGCCUUCAUGACCCACAUGCGUCUUUGGAACGCUCAUGACGAGACCUCAGGUCAGGCGGGGCUACCCGCUGAGUUUAAGCAUAUCAAUAAGCGGAGGA